GACGUAGGGCGCGAGCGUUGUCCGGAUUUAUUGGGCGUAAAGAGCUCGUAGGCGGCUUGUUGCGUCGACUGUGAAAACCUGCGGCUCAACCGUGUGGUCUGCAGUCGAUACGGGCAGGCUGGAGUUCGGUAGGGGAGGUCGGAAUUCCUGGUGUAGCGGUGAAAUGCGCAGAUAUCAGGAGGAACACCGGUGGCGAAGGCGGAUCUCUGGGCCGUAACUGACGCUGAGGAGCGAAAGCAUGGGGAGCGAACAGG
rnacentral:rRNA from 1 species